UACAGAGGUCUCAAGCGUUGUUCGGAUUCAUUGGGCGUAAAGGGUGCGUAGGCGGCUUGUCGCGUCGUCCGUGAAAACCUGCAGCUCAACUGCAGGCUUGCGGUCGAUACGGGCAGGCUGGAGUUCGGUAGGGGAGACUGGAAUUCCUGGUGUAGCGGUGAAAUGCGCAGAUAUCAGGAGGAACACCGAUGGCGAAAACAGGUCUCUGGGCCGAUACUGACGCUGAGGAGCGAAAGCGUGGGGAGCGAACAGG
rnacentral:rRNA from 1 species